AGCUUUGCGCAGUGGCAGUAUCGUAGCCUAUGAGGUUUAUCCGAGGCGCGAUUAUUGCUAGUUGAAAACUUUACCCAAUACCCCGCCUUGACGACUUGAAAUAUAGUCGGCGAUGGCAAUUUUUGACGGUCUCUACGGAGG
rnacentral:snRNA from 1 species